CAGCCCAGAGCCUGAAUCAGUGUGUGUGUUAGUGGAAGCGUCUGGAAAGGCGCGCGAUACAGGGUGACAGCCCCGUACACAAAAAUGCACAUACUGUGAGCUCGAUGAGUAGGGCGGGACACGUGGUAUCCUGUCUGAAUAUGGGGGGACCAUCCUCCAAGGCUAAAUACUCCUGACUGACCGAUAGUGAACCAGUACCGUGAGGGAAAGGCGAAAAGAACCCCGGCGAGGGGAGUGAAAAAGAACCUGAAACCGUGUACGUACAAGCAGUGGGAGCCUCUUAAUGGGGUGACUGCGUACCUUUUGUAUAAUGGGUCAGCGACUUAUAUUCUGUAGCAAGGUUAACCGAAUAGGGGAGCCGAAGGGAAACCGAGUCUUAACUGGGCGUUAAGUUGCAGGGUAUAGACCCGAAACCCGGUGAUCUAGCCAUGGGCAGGUUGAAGGUUGGGUAACACUAACUGGAGGACCGAACCGACUAAUGUUGAAAAAUUAGCGGAUGACUUGUGGCUGGGGGUGAAAGGCCAAUCAAACCGGGAGAUAGCUGGUUCUCCCCGAAAGCUAUUUAGGUAGCGCCUCGUGAAUUCAUCUCCGGGGGUAGAGCACUGUUUCGGCAAGGGGGUCAUCCCGACUUACCAACCCGAUGCAAACUGCGAAUACCGGAGAAUGUUAUCACGGGAGACACACGGCGGGUGCUAACGUCCGUCGUGAAGAGGGAAACAACCCAGACCGCCAGCUAAGGUCCCAAAGUCAUGGUUAAGUGGGAAACGAUGUGGGAAGGCCCAGACAGCCAGGAUGUUGGCUUAGAAGCAGCCAUCAUUUAAAGAAAGCGUAAUAGCUCACUGGUCGAGUCGGCCUGCGCGGAAGAUGUAACGGGGCUAAACCAUGCACCGAAGCUGCGGCAGCGACACUAUGUGUUGUUGGGUAGGGGAGCGUUCUGUAAGCCUGUGAAGGUGUACUGUGAGGUAUGCUGGAGGUAUCAGAAGUGCGAAUGCUGACAUAAGUAACGAUAAAGCGGGUGAAAAGCCCGCUCGCCGGAAGACCAAGGGUUCCUGUCCAACGUUAAUCGGGGCAGGGUGAGUCGACCCCUAAGGCGAGGCCGAAAGGCGUAGUCGAUGGGAAACAGGUUAAUAUUCCUGUACUUGGUGUUACUGCGAAGGGGGGACGGAGAAGGCUAUGUUGGCCGGGCGACGGUUGUCCCGGUUUAAGCGUGUAGGCUGGUUUUCCAGGCAAAUCCGGAAAAUCAAGGCUGAGGCGUGAUGACGAGGCACUACGGUGCUGAAGCAACAAAUGCCCUGCUUCCAGGAAAAGCCUCUAAGCAUCAGGUAACAUCAAAUCGUACCCCAAACCGACACAGGUGGUCAGGUAGAGAAUACCAAGGCGCUUGAGAGAACUCGGGUGAAGGAACUAGGCAAAAUGGUGCCGUAACUUCGGGAGAAGGCACGC
rnacentral:rRNA from 1 species